rnacentral:lncRNA from 1 species
CUAGCUUCAAACAACGUCACGGCCCAUGCAGUUGCAGACUUCUCAACUCCACGGUCCAGCUACAAGUAAGGAAGCAGCUCUCCACGUGCAGCAAUCUUCUUCACGGAUUGGACAGCAUCUUCACUCACGAGCCUGUAGCAGGCUUGGAUGCACACAGCAACUUCCAUCUAGUUUCAAACGGACCAGCAACGUCCAUGAAGAGAUCCAACAAGCAUCACAGUCUGGCCUCCAUGCUUGGCAGAAAAGGAAGUUUCAAUUUCACACGUUCAGCAGCGCAUGUGUGAUGAACCUUGGACAGUAGCAGGCUGGAUUCAUUUGCUUGAUUCAUCAUACAACGUGAAAAAGCUCACGGCCACGAGAAUUCACGCCCAGAGGGCUUGGUCCGGAAACUUU